CGGGGGGAAGGAGAGACAAAAUGGUACACAUAUUUUAUCAUAAUUGUUUUUAGAGCUUUCUAUGCAUAGGAAAAACUCUCAAAGGAAAUGCAUGAGGGAUUAGGUAUGGGUGUAGAGAAUGAAAUAGAUUUUUAAAAUAGUUCUUUCUACUUUAUGAGUUUUCUAAAUUUUCUUCAAUUAGAAUGUAUGGCUUCUAUAAUGAAAAUAAUAUUUUUUAAAUGCAACCAUAAAAAGGAUCUCAAGUGGUCUUUCAUGAAUAAGUAUUAUUUGAUAUUUUAGAUGCUGUCAAAAAUUAAGUAUAAUGAAACCAAAAAGAAAUGAAGAGAGAGGGGGAGGAGAAAAAGAAUGAGAAAGGAAAAGAGAAGGCCUCUGGACGAAGAGUCAUGACCCCAGAGACAGGCAUCUCAUCACUGCAACUGACCGUGGCAUAGCUCAGACCUUGUUCCCUUGGAAGCCCCCAGAGGCUCAAAUCUAAGAAAGAACACAGUGCAGUGGUUACAAACACAUGUCUUUUAGCCACAAGAGACAAUUUAGGGUCACCCGGGAGCUUUUAAUACAGGCUGAGUAUUAGAUGAUAUUGGAAUUACUCUCAUUUAAAAAAAAUUUCGCUAGGAUGAUGGUAUUGUUAUUGCGAGUUAUGUAAAAAAAAUGUCCGACCUCAUGUGAGAUCUAUGCUGACAUAUUUAGGUGUCAUCAUCAUCUCCAUAACCUACAUUCAAGUGGUUCAGAAAAAAAGUGUGCGUGUGUGCGUGCGCACACACAAGCGUGUGUGUGAAAAGAAAGCGAGCAAACAUGGCAAAAUGUCCACAACUGCCUGAUCCACUCAGAGGAGAUGUGGAUGUUCAUUACACUGCACCUUCGAAUCUUUUCGUGCGUUUGGUAAUCUUCAAAAUCAAAGUUGAGAUGGACUUUUUAAAAAUCCUUUUGAAAUAGUAAAACAAGUAAAUAAGACUGCAGAAGUAUGCAUUAACAUAAUAAUUAAAGAAUCCAGGUUUUAAAGCCAGAGAUUUCCAUAGCAGUUAUAUGGCUUAAGUACAUUAUAACCUUUGGCAAGCCUUUCUAAGUUUCAGUUUCUUCAUCUAUGAAAUGGUGAUGGUAAGAACACCAACCUUACAGGGUUUUGCGAAGGUGUAAAAGACGAUAGGUGUAAAGCAUCUCUCACUGCGCCUGUCCACAGUUCAUGUGAGUAAAACAAUCUACAAGUGACAUAAAACAGGAGCCUCAUGAAGAGCUGUAGGCCCUUGAGGAAUUCAAGACAAAGGAGGUCUCUCCUUCUAUAGCCCCACUUUCCACAAAAAUACAACUGAGACUGACAUUAAAUGGAAAACUCUAAUAGCUCAGAAGUUUGAAUAUGGUCCAAUCAUGGAAUCAAGUGGGCUCAUAGUCUUCAUUGGUUCUGACCAAAUCUACUCAACCACAGUGGUUUUAUUGUAUUUGGUUUUGUUUGGUUUCGUUGUGUUUCACCACAGUCUUUUUUCUCUACCUCUGACCUAGGGUUCAAGUAAAGGGCAAAGGAGCUGAGAGGUUCAACCCACACAGGAGGCUCUGCUGGGCACCCAGGGUAGUCAGAGCACUCAGAAGCAGAGGACAACCCUGGAUGUCUUGUAUCAGCAUCCUAACAAGACAAAACAACAGCAUUCAACUUAAGCAGUACUGUCAAUGAUGACUAAAUACUAAAAAGUAAAUCUUCAAUAUUUUACCCAUUUGUUGAAUGCUUAUCAUGUAUGCUGAUAACGUGCUACAGAUGCAGAAAUGAAUAAGACAACAACAAGGUCCUACUAUUAUAGCACAGGGAAUUCUAUCCUGUAUCUAGGAUAGACCACGAUGGAAAAUUAUACCAAAAAAGAACAUAUGUGUAUAUAUAUAUAUAUAUAGCCGAGUCACUGCUGUACAGCAGAAAUUGGACAACAUUGCAAAUCAACCAUACUUUUAGUUUAAAAAAGAGAGAGAGAGGGUGUUCCCACUGUAGUGCAGCGGAAAUAAUUCUGACUAGUAUCCAUGAGGACGCAGGUUCAAUCCCUGGCCUUGCUCAGUGGGUCAAGGAUCCAGCAUUGCUGUGAGCUGUGGUGUAGACCAAAGACACAGCUAGGAUCCCACACUGCUGUGGCUGUGGCAUAGGCUGGCAGCUGUAGCUUCGAUUCGACCCCUAGCCUGGGAACCUCCAUAUGCCACGGGUGUGGUCUUAAAAGACAAAAAAUUAAAAAGAGAAAUGAAUAAAAAAGUUGUAAUUGCAAGGAAAUACAAUGCAUUUGCAAUUUAAUUUAUUGCAAGUUCAUGAGAGUGACUUCUCUCUUGAUCUGCAACAUUGCCAAAUUAAACCAAGGUUCAGUUGGCAAAGUUUGCAC
rnacentral:lncRNA from 1 species